rnacentral:rRNA from 1 species
GAUGAACGCUGGCGGCGUGCCUAAUACAUGCAAGUCGAGCGAACAGACGAGGAGCUUUCUCCUCUGACGUUAGCGGCGGACGGGUGAGUAACACGUGGAUAACCUACCUAUAAGACUGGGAUAACUUCGGGAAACCGGAGCUAAUACCGGAUAAUAUAUUGAACCGCAUGGUUCAAUAGUGAAAUACGGUUUUGCUGUCACUUAUAGAUGGAUCCGCGCCGAAUUAGCUAGUUGGUAAGGUAACGGCUUACCAAGGCAACGAUGCGUAGCCGACCUGAGAGGGUGAUCGGCCACACUGGAACUGAGACACGGUCCAGACUCCUACGGGAGGACGCAGUAGGGACUCUUACGCAAUGGGCGAGAGCCUGACGGAGCACCGCGGCGUGAGUGAUGAAGGUCUUCGGAUCGUAAAACUCUGUUAGUAGGGAAGAACAAAUGUGUAAGUAACUAUGCACGUAUUGACGGUACCUAAUCAGAAAGCCCCGGCUAACUACGUG